AGGACGAACGCUGGCGGCGUGCUUAACACAUGCAAGUCGAACGGUGAAGGAGAGCUUGCUCUCCGGAUCAGUGGCGAACGGGUGAGUAACACGUGAGCAACCUACCCUUGACUCUGGGAUAACAGUUGGAAACAGCUGCUAAUACCGGAUACGACCCAGCAGGCAUCUGCCGGGGUGGAAAGCUCCGACGGUCAAGGAUGGGCUCGCGCCUAUCAGCUUGUGGUGAGGUAACGGCUCGACCAAGGCGGCGACGGGGUA
rnacentral:rRNA from 1 species